GGCACUACGGUGCUGAAGCAACAAAUGCCCUGCUUCCAGGAAAAGCCUCUAAGCAUCAGGUAACAUCAAAUCGUACCCCAAACCGACACAGGUGGUCAGGUAGAGAAUACCAAGGCGCUUGAGAGAACUCGGGUGAAGGAACUAGGCAAAAUGGUGCCGUAACUUCGGGAGAAGGCACGCUGAUAUGUAGGUGAAGCGACUUGCUCGUGGAGCUGAAAUCAGUCGAAGAUACCAGCUGGCUGCAACUGUUUAUUAAAAACACAGCACUGUGCAAACACGAAAGUGGACGUAUACGGUGUGACGCCUGCCCGGUGCCGGAAGGUUAAUUGAUGGGGUUAGCGCAAGCGAAGCUCUUGAUCGAAGCCCCGGUAAACGGCGGCCGUAACUAUAACGGUCCUAAGGUAGCGAAAUUCCUUGUCGGGUAAGUUCCGACCUGCACGAAUGGCGUAAUGAUGGCCAGGCUGUCUCCACCCGAGACUCAGUGAAAUUGAACUCGCUGUGAAGAUGCAGUGUACCCGCGGCAAGACGGAAAGACCCCGUGAACCUUUACUAUAGCUUGACACUGAACAUUGAGCCUUGAUGUGUAGGAUAGGUGGGAGGCUUUGAAGUGUGGACGCCAGUCUGCAUGGAGCCGACCUUGAAAUACCACCCUUUAAUGUUUGAUGUUCUAACGUUGACCCGUAAUCCGGGUUGCGGACAGUGUCUGGUGGGUAGUUUGACUGGGGCGGUCUCCUCCUAAAGAGUAACGGAGGAGCACGAAGGUUGGCUAAUCCUGGUCGGACAUCAGGAGGUUAGUGCAAUGGCAUAAGCCAGCUUGACUGCGAGCGUGACGGCGCGAGCAGGUGCGAAAGCAGGUCAUAGUGAUCCGGUGGUUCUGAAUGGAAGGGCCAUCGCUCAACGGAUAAAAGGUACUCCGGGGAUAACAGGCUGAUACCGCCCAAGAGUUCAUAUCGACGGCGGUGUUUGGCACCUCGAUGUCGGCUCAUCACAUCCUGGGGCUGAAGUAGGUCCCAAGGGUAUGGCUGUUCGCCAUUUAAAGUGGUACGCGAGCUGGGUUUAGAACGUCGUGAGACAGUUCGGUCCCUAUCUGCCGUGGGCGCUGGAGAACUGAGGGGGGCUGCUCCUAGUACGAGAGGACCGGAGUGGACGCAUCACUGGUGUUCGGGUUGUCAUGCCAAUGGCACUGCCCGGUAGCUAAAUGCGGAAGAGAUAAGUGCUGAAAGCAUCUAAGCACGAAACUUGCCCCGAGAUGAGUUCUCCCUGACUCCUUGAGAGUCCUGAAGGAACGUUGAAGACGACGACGUUGAUAGGCCGGGUGUGUAAGCGCAGCGAUGCGUUGAGCUAACCGGUACUAAUGAACCGUGAGGCUUAACCUUACAACGCCGAAGCUGUU
rnacentral:rRNA from 1 species